UUUUUUUGUUUUUAUUAGAAGGACUAGGUACAUUAGUAUUAUUUCUCUGAAAAUCUUGCUCAACUCUCUUAGGAUGACCCUGAGGAUACAAAGGUUCCUGAGUCAUUCUAGCACCUCUAGUCACAACUCUAACAAAAUGAUCAUUGUUCUUCUAGUCAUCUCAUGGAGCAAAUCAUUUUGUGCCUUAAGUACAUGUUCUACUUGAGUAGUUACCAUGGAAGCAUGUUUACUAAUAAGCCUAAGGUCAUUGAUAGUUCUACUCAUAUAAUCACCCAAG
rnacentral:lncRNA from 1 species